AGGGCACCACCAGGAGUGGAGCCUGCGGCUUAAUUUGACUCAACACGGGAAACCUCACCCGGCCCGGACACGGACAGGAUUGACAGAUCGAUAGCUCUUUCUCGAUUCCGUGGGUGGUGGUGCAUGGCCGUUCUUAGUUGGUGGAGCGAUUUGUCUGGUUAAUUCCGAUAACGAACGAGACUCUGGCAUGCUAACUAGUUACGCGACCCCCCGAGCGGUCGGCGUCCCCCAACUUCUUAGAGGGACAAGUGGCGUUCAGCCACCCGAGAUUGAGCAAUAACAGGUCUGUGAUGCCCUUAGAUGUCCGGGGCUGCACGCGCGCUACACUGACUGGCUCAGCGUGUGCCUACCCUACGCCGGCAGGCGCGGGUAACCCGUUGAACCCCAUUCGUGAUGGGGAUCGGGGAUUGCAAUUAUUCCCCAUGAACGAGGAAUUCCCAGUAAGUGCGGGUCAUAAGCUUGCGUUGAUUAAGUCCCUGCCCUUUGUACACACCGCCCCGUCGCCACUACCGAUUGGAU
rnacentral:rRNA from 1 species